rnacentral:rRNA from 1 species
CCUACGGGUGGCAGCAGUGAGGAAUAUUGGUCAAUGGACGGAAGUCUGAACCAGCCAUGCCGCGUGCAGGAAGACGGCUCUAUGAGUUGUAAACUGCUUUUGUACAAGGGUAAACCUGAAUACGUGUAUUCAGCUGAAAGUACUGUACGAAUAAGGAUCGGCUAACUCCGUGCCAGCAGCCGCGGUAAUACGGAGGAUCCAAGCGUUAUCCGGAUUUAUUGGGUUUAAAGGGUGCGUAGGCGGAUUGAUAAGUUAGAGGUGAAAUGUCCGAGCUUAACUCGGGAACUGCCUCUAAUACUGUUGAUCUAGAGAGUAGAUGCGGUAGGCGGAAUGUAUGGUGUAGCGGUGAAAUGCUUAGAGAUCAUACAGAACACCGAUUGCGAAGGCAGCAUACCGGCGCCCAACUGACGCUGAAGCACGAAAGCGUGGGUAUCGAACAGGAUUAGAUACCCCAGUAGUC